GCCAAAUAAUUUAACUUGGGAGUCAGAAUGUGGGUGAUAAGGUCCAUAUUCGAAAGGGAAACAGCCCAGACCACCAGCUAAGGUCCCAAAAUAUAUGUUAAGUGGAAAAGGAUGUGGCGUUGCCCAGACAACUAGGAUGUUGGCUUAGAAGCAGCCAUCAUUUAAAGAGUGCGUAAUAGCUCACUAGUCGAGUGACACUGCGCCGAAAAUGUACCGGGGCUAAACAUAUUACCGAAGCUGUGGAUUGUCCUUUGGACAAUGGUAGGAGAGCGUUCUAAGGGCGUUGAAGCAUGAUCGCAAGGACAUGUGGAGCGCUUAGAAGUGAGAAUGCCGGUGUGAGUAGCGAAAGACGGGUGAGAAUCCCGUCCACCGAUUGACUAAGGUUUCCAGAGGAAGGCUCGUCCGCUCUGGGUUAGUCGGGUCCUAAGCUGAGGCCGACAGGCGUAGGCGAUGGAUAACAGG
rnacentral:rRNA from 1 species